UAUGGGGACAUUUUGAAUUAUGGGGACAUGACCGGUGUCCUCAUAAUUCUAACAGUGUAGAAGUGCUUCUAUACCUAGAGGGAGCUCAAAUCCAAAAUUUCUCCACAAGUCCCCAUAGUUCACAUUUACAUGAUUUUGUGUAAAACGUGUGUAUCGAGACAGUGCCCCUGUAGGUGGGUCUGGGGUACUGCACCUCCUCAUGAAUAUUCACACUUGUGUAUGAAAUCGCAGUUUGUGAUUGGCUGUGACCGCCGGAAGUCCUCAUAAUUUCGGGUUUUGUCAGACCACUGUGUUGAUGUGUUUACCUCACACGAGUUAAUGCAGUUUACUAACUAUUUAAACAUUAUUGUUUUAUAAUUUAUCAAUUGUCAAUGAAAUAUAUAAAUGCAGAGUGACCCUGCAAUGAUAAAUAAUCCGUAAAUAUCAUAUUAUGAAAAAUGAAAAUAGCUUGAAAGCUGUUCGCAAUCAGUUUAAUGGAGAAACGCGACCCUAACCACACUAUUAACUGCUAUAUCAUAGACUAUAUCAUAGAUGGCUAUUUACAUACAUAAUGGUAUUAUUAUUCUACAAUAUCGUUUAUUAUAAUCCAUAUGGUCUAAUAAUCAUAGUUUAGCGUCGCGUUUAUUUCCUGUUUGGACCGGGUGGAAACUGCAGCUGAGAAGACACCUGUGAUUUGGACCUGUUUAAAGCAACUAUUACUGGAAAGCAGACACUCUGAGAGCCCAAGCCACUGGAUGAGGCGUAGUUUUCACUUCAGAACAAAGACAGAUUCAUCAAUGAUUUUAAAGGGAGAGGAGUGUUCAGUUGCUCUGAGUUUCAUAAGGGAGAUUUCCUGCUUGAAUAUGGAGGAGACUAAGAAAAGAAGAAGAACGAGAGC